rnacentral:rRNA from 1 species
UACGGAGGGCGCUAGCGUUGUUCGGAAUUACUGGGCGUAAAGCGCACGUAGGCGGCUUUGUAAGUUAGAGGUGAAAGCCCGGGGCUCAACUCCGGAACUGCCUUUAAAACUGCAUCGCUUGAAUCCAGGAGAGGUGAGUGGAAUUCCGAGUGUAGAGGUGAAAUUCGUAGAUAUUCGGAAGAACACCAGUGGCGAAGGCGGCUCACUGGACUGGUAUUGACGCUGAGGUGCGAAAGCGUGGGGAGCAAACAGG